rnacentral:rRNA from 1 species
GUGUCAGCAGCCGCGGUAAUACGUAGGGAGCAAGCGUUGUCCGGAAUCAUUGGGCGUAAAGAGCGUGUAGGCGGUUUGCUAAGUCUGGUGUGAAAUCUUUCGGCUCAACCGGAAGCGGUCACUGGAAACUGGCAGACUUGAAUCCGGAAGAGGAGUGUGGAAUUCCUGGUGUAGCGGUGGAAUGCGCAGAUAUCAGGAGGAACACCUAUGGCGAAGGCAGCACUCUGGUACGUGAUUGACGCUGAGACGCGAAAGCAUGGGGAGCAAACAGGAUUAGAUACCCUGGUAGUCCAUGCCGUAAACGAUGGAUGCUAGGUGUGGGUGGUGUCGAUUCCAUCCGUGCCGAAGCUAACGCAGUAAGCAUCCCGCCUGGGGAGUACGGCCGCAAGGCUAAA